UACGUAGGGACCAAGCGUUUGUCCGGAAUCAUUGGGCGUAAAGAGCGUGUAGGCGGCUUGUUAAGUCUUGCGUGAAAUCUCGGGGCUCAACCCCGAGCGGUCGUGAGAAACUGGCAGGCUAGAGUGCGGGAGAGGAGAGUGGAAUUCCUGGUGUAGCGGUGAAAUGCGCAGAUAUCAGGAAGAACACCCGUGGCGAAGGCGGCUCUCUGGAACGCAACUGACGCUGAGACGCGAAAGCGUGGGGGAGCAAACAGG
rnacentral:rRNA from 1 species